AUAUCAAUAAGCGGAGGACAAGAAACUAACAAGGAUUCCCUUAGUAACGGCGAGUGAAACGGGAAGGGCCCAACUUGAAAAUCUCCGUGUUUCACACGGCGAAUUGUAGUCUAAAGAGGUAUUCUCUGCCAGUACGUCUGCCUAAGUUCCCUGGAAAGGGACAUCAAAGAGGGUGAGAAUCCCGUCGGUGGAAUGUUGCUGGCCUCACGAGAUGCUUUCUUCGAGUCGGGUUGUUUGGGAAUGCAGCCCUAAGUAGGUGGUAAAUCCCAUCUAAGGCUAAAUAUUGGCGAGACCGAUAGCGCACAAGUA
rnacentral:rRNA from 1 species